GCAGUUUAGAUAAUCAAAACAAAUAAAUUGUUCUUUUUUUUUUUCGGGUGGGUUUCUAGGCCCUCUUCAAAUCAGAAGGGUAACGAGGGGAAUGCCUAAUGGAUGCCAUGUUAAACAUGGCUGGCAGCAGGUGUCAGUCCUGCUCAUGUCUGACCUUGCAGAAAGGCUGCAUAUUUCAGUUUCUCCUUCAGUAGUUUCAGAGUGGUUUCCAAAGAGAGUUGGGGAGAAGGGUGUUCAUGCAUAAGGACCCUCAGAAGCUGUCUAUACAGGCCAGUAGAGCAGUGGGGAUGGCCCUAGGCUGGAACUAAGCCUCAUGCUUGCUUUGCUGACACUGAUCCUCCCUUGCCUCACUGCACAUCCUAAAUAAAGCAACUGCGGUCAACAAUGAAAAUGAAAGGUUAAAGAAAAUGAAGUUUUUACUUCGUGGCAUCCAACUGAUAUUGCAGCGUACUUGAAGAAUGAAGCCUCCAUUCUUUUCAACCAGUUUCAUGGCAGCAUUUGCAUUUAGCAAAUCUAAGUCUAAUACAUUACUGAUGCAGGGAUUUCUUUUGCACUUGUUUUGUUGCGAGGAAAGGCAAUAAGCACAGGGCAGCCAUCCUCUUGGUUAAUACUCAAUAAAACAUUUGGUGAAGAAAUAACCUGAGUUUAUUUUAAUGUUCCACAAUGGGGCUGACUGACACUAAUGGGUGGGCUCAUAAAAAAUGGUGUCAAUCUUGGCACUGUGAUGGUUCACUGAACAGCGCAUUACUGUUAAAAGUAUUUCAUGUCUCUAAGUAUGCUUUGCUCUCUCGGGUCUAUACAAGAGUGGCCGAGACAAUUGAAAAAGCAGUUUCAGUAUUCAUCAUCAUAGGAGAAAGCUGAGAGCGCACACUUUGAAACAGACAACCUGCAGUACAGGCAGGGAAUGUCUCAAUCCCCUCUGUUGAUCCUCAACCUCAAAGAUGCAUUAGCAGGAGUGCUGAAUGGAUUUUCUUUUCUUAUUUGUUCUGUCCAAAUACCCACAGUCAGCAAGGAAGAAUUGAAAACAGAUGACGGUCAUUCGAUCAAAGGAAGUACUCAUAGGAUGCCAGCACAGCAGAAUGUUAUUUUAGAGCAGAAAUGCUGGCUAUUGCAGCAAAGAUUAAUGAACAAUUUGCUGUGUAAUUAUUUACAACCCUGGUCAUUAAAGCACAGCAAUGUGACUGGUAAAUACUGCUGGACUGAAUUGUUAGCGAACCCUUGCCUCUGUGGGGAGAGGCGGCAUUAGCAGUAGUAGUAAACGACCUUAGAGGAUUUAAUAUGAGUCUUUGACUGCCUUGCAGCAAAACCAACUCUCUGCCAUUAAGAGAUACAGGCCACAGAUAUAGUGGGAAGAUAAGAGAUGGACUGUCGUCUCUCACAGAACAUGUAAUAACUAGGAGGCAACAGGGGUCAAGUGCCUUCACUCUGUUCACAGCUGAGACUGUAUGGUACAAAAGAAGGCUGGUGAGUCAUUUUACCACUUGACUUUAUUGCAAAAUAGCAGUGUUCACAGCUCAAGCUGUGAUAAGUCAUUCCUUAGAGGUCAGUCUCCCAAGAAAAGUAAGCUUUGAGGAUUCAGAAGGAUACCAGUAAGCUGACAGGAAAGGGGCGGAGAGAGGGGGAAGACAUGCAGCAAAGGUCGCCUGGGCCUGGAGUCCAACAUGCAAAGGGCUGCGUUGAGGACUGAAGCCUCUGAACAUGGGUGGCACGUUUCACCCCUGCACCACUGCUGCAUCCAUAUUUGCCUUAUUAAAAGAAUGACUCACAAUUUUCAAAGAUA